rnacentral:rRNA from 1 species
GGCACCGCUGGUUAGCUACGUUCGGUUUGGAUAACCGCUGAAAGCAUCUAAGCGGGAAGCCGGUCUCAAGAUUAGGUCUCUCACUGGGUUAACCAGGUAAGGCCCCUCGUAGACGACGAGGUUGAUAGGCUGCAGGUGUACGCACAGUGAUGUGUUCAGCCGAGCAGUACUAAUUGGCCGAGGUCUUGAUCUC